GUGAGAUGGAAUCAGCGUUUGGACAUGCAAUUUACGCUGAUUCCAUUUCAUGA
rnacentral:pre_miRNA from 1 species